rnacentral:rRNA from 1 species
AGCGAACGUUAGCGGCGGGCCUAACACAUGCAAGUCGAACGCGAAAGGUCUUCGGACUGAGUAGAGUGGCGCACGGGUGAGUAACACGUAGGUAAUCUACCCUUUGGCGGGGGAUAACGUUCCGAAAGGAGCGCUAAUACCGCAUAAGACCACGGAGUCUCCGGACGCUGUGGGAAAAGGUGGCCUCUUCUUGAAAGCUACCACCGAAGGAUGAGCCUGCGUCCCAUCAGCUAGUUGGUAAGGUAAUGGCUUACCAAGGCGAAGACGGGUAGCUGGUUUGAGAGAAUGAUCAGCCACACUGGCACUGGAACACGGGCCAGACUCCUACGGGAGGCAGCAGUGAGGAAUAUUGGGCAAUGGGCGAAAGCCUGACCCAGCCACGCCGCGUGAGUGAUGAAGGCCCUCGGGUCGUAAAGCUCUGUGGAGAGGGACGAAAACCCUGG